rnacentral:lncRNA from 1 species
GGCGGGUCGAAGGGGAUGGCAUCCGGGGGUUGGACUCCCCUUUUUGUGAGCAAUCAUUGCAUUUAAUGGUAAUCUCGGGAAUCCUCUUAAGUUCCUAUAUACAAGGUGAUAGGACGUGCCGUUGGAAUAGGUCACCUUUUCAGGCUUAAAAAUAUGUGAAUAGGUCGGGAAAAACUCUCGUUUGACACUUAGGUAUAGCACUGUUACAUUACACACCAAAGAAAACGCAAAC